UCCUGCAUGUGAACGUGACUCUGGGUGAUCCUGAUCAUUGAUAGUUCAGGGAGAGGAAUUGCUAAAGUGCGUCUUGUGUUUAGAGGUCCACACCUGUCCCCUGUCCCUUCCAAACCCUGGAACUCUCCCUCA
rnacentral:snoRNA from 1 species